rnacentral:lncRNA from 1 species
GUUUUUGUAGAUUUUUAAAUAAAACUUAGAGAUUCCUUGUAUGACUCUCUCAAAUCUCUCUUUUGUGGUAUUUCUGGAUCCUUUCCAAGGCAGUAAUGGUAUAUGCCUUCUCUCAAAGUAUGUGGUGUUUUUGGUAUGAGGCAUAGUGAUAUUGCCUUCUCUCUCACCCUACUCUAAUAAGGUUUUGAUAUCUGGAGCUCAUAGGUGGGAGAUAGAUAAUACAUACUUACAAGACAUUUAUUGCAUAGUCAAACCAUGGAUUCAGAAGAACAAGUCAAUAAGUCAAAUCAAGAUGUGCAUGUGUGGCGAGUGAAUGGUGUAUGGUGAUGAUGGUGAUAACAAUAGUGAAAGUCUAAUUCUACUUUUGCUCUUUUAAGGGGAUACAUACCUUUCUUGCACUUUGAAGCUUUUUGAGGAGAAUGAGAUGCUCUAUAUUUUGUUUUUCUUUUCCCUCAGGUGGGUAUCUUGUAACCCUAAUUCUACUAUCGGAAACUUGUCCAUUUUUACCUCUUGUCUCACUUUUUCUUUUCUUCGAGGUUAUAGGCACUUGCCCCUUUUUAUUUCCUCGUAUCCUCUUUUUUUUUAGAGUACUCAUCUCCUGAAAUAAUAUAACAAGUGGUAGUAACCAAGAUAACUCGAGCAUUUAUUUCACAGGGAAAAACAGAAAUGUUUUUGGCUAUUCUCUCCCGGAUUAGGAGUAGAAUACUUUUGGGUGGCUCUGGAGAUGGAAAUGAGUGGAUGUAUGUGGAUGCGUACUUCCGGAGUAGAAGCAGCAUGUAUAAGUGAACGUGCAAGUGAAUCUUGAUUUUAACCGCAUGACAAGCUCCUAAGGGUCUACACAGCUUGACCACAAUCAAUGCUCAUAAGCAGUAAAAAGUAAAUGUGUGGCUCAAAGUCUAGCAAGCAUGUAUAUAUGGCUGUGGUAGGAAUUUAAACUCUCAUCAUACAGUAACUCAUCAUUUGUUAUUUUAAAGAUUUUCAAAGAUAAAAUUCUCCAGAAUUCUAGCAUCUCUAGAACAGAUAAACAGCAGCUCAACUUUCCCAUAUCAUAUUCGUUAACAACUUAGACUUUAGAUCAAGUACUCUUCCCACAAGUUC